rnacentral:lncRNA from 1 species
UUCAAAGAUAAUUCAUGCAAAGUUUGUGUAAUGUGAUAUACAAGAUUGUCUUUUUUCGAAACGCGGUCCCUUAGGGCCCGAUUCAUUAAAAAGGUCAAAGAUAAUUGCCUGGUUAAUUAACGGAAACCUGGCCUAAAACCGUUUACAACAUGCCCACAACAAAGACACACGAUCGACCUAGGCACCCAUAAGACUCACACACAUCAUUGAGGAAAGGACACUGUCUCGGUUGUCUGCAAUGUCAUUGUCAUCACCUCUUCGCGAGCAAGCGACUCUGACUUCGUUGUUGACGACCCAUCAAGACCUCUUUGGAUGGGAACCUUGCCGGCUGGGGCCAAGCAAUUGACCGCACGCGUCGAGGAUGAGGCAACUCCUACUUUGAUGACGAGCCUCGCAGAAGAAAAGGAGCACGCCUUGCACCGACGGAGCCCGAACUACCAUCGCUUGUCAUCGUUGUCGCAGUGUCGCCCGGCAACGCCGCAGCUCCGACUUCAAGCUUAGGAACAUGUCAGGCCGUCGACGACGAAAGCAAGCCACGACCCUGCUCAUCUUGCAACCAUCAUCGUUGCCACACAAGUCGCAACACCACACCUGCACCGCCGGCCGGGCACCUUCCGACCAUGAUGUCGUGCGCGUCUAGCCUCAAGAAAGAGCAAAGGUGAUCACGGUCUUCAAGGCUACACCCUCAAGAGGGAAAAUGGCGUUGGAGACGACGUCGCUGCCGAUCCUGCAACAGGAUCUAGUCUUUCACCCGAAGAACUCGAUCUGGGAGAACAUGAUGCGCGGAUCUCCUUGGCAGCGCCUCCAAGAAGGAUGAUGACGCCCACACGCACCGCCGCCACCGACCGGAACUGGCCAGACUUUCGCUCGGAGCAACACAACCUUAGUUCAAUGCAGGUGGCAACACCAACCAGCACCACCAUCACCCGAACCUCCACUAAGCCACGCACCCCUGCAGAGCGACCGCACCGUCACUAAACAUGACCACCACCACACCUCACUGCCGUCAAAGCGGUCCAGCAGCACCGGCGGCGAUCCAGAUCUGGCCACAAGCUAGACCCAGC